GAAGUUGCCACACAUAAACAUAUGUAUACUAAAUAAAUAAAUGUAAAAAGGUGAAGGUUGUAAAAUAAUGUAAUUAGUAGUAUUAACAUAGUUUUAUCAACAUAGUUAUAUAUAUUCUGGUUUAAGAUGGGUCAUAUUACCAUUAAAAGGGGGGAUGCCUUACAGCCUAUUUUAAUAUGGGGAAAUUAAAAUAAAUCACAAAUUCAGACGAAGAUCUUUCUCAUGGUGUAUUCUGCUUGACCAUCAACAUUGAAAAAGGAUAUACCUUCUCUCAUUGUACUUAAAAGAACCUAAAUAUUUGUUUUGAAUAUAUGGCCAGGGGCGGAUCCAGUCAUUUUAAAAAGGUGGGGUUCCUAGUUCCUAACCCAGGACAAAGAGGGGGAUUCCAACUACAUGUCCCCAUUCAAAUGCAUAGAUCGUCAAAAAAAGGAACAUCUAUUUACCCGAGGUCACCUCCCUGGAUCCUCCACUGUAGCCUAUUUUCACAAUGCUUGAGUAUAAAUGAAAAUUACAUGAGGUCACCCCCCUGGAUCUGCCACUGUGGCCUAUUUUCACAAUGCUUAGGUAUAAAUGAAAUUUAAAAUAUUUGAUUCAAAAUAAAUUAUUAUGCCACAGAUCUAGAUGUAAUGGUGAUCUGCAUCAAUACACAGAAGUUUUAAAAUUAUUAUUUUUUUCCCAUCUUUUUAACAAUGCAUGAUACC
rnacentral:lncRNA from 1 species